rnacentral:misc_RNA from 1 species
CGUACCGGAUUAGCGAAAUCAGCGAAUGGCGGAUUGAUCGCUGGCGCUGUGCUUUCUUGCGAUUUUAUGUUUUGCUGAAGAAAAAGAUACCAAGUUUUUGAUUCAACUUUACCAAGCCCUCGUGUUUCUGAUCGUGAUCAACCAACAUGGCGCGCGGCCAACAGAAGAUCCAAUCCCAGCAGAAGAACGCCGAGAAAAUGGCCAAACUGAAGAAGGGGACCAGUCAAAAGGCUUCAGCCGCCAAGGCACUCACCUACACAUGCACCGUCUGCAAAAGUCAAAUGCCGGAUCCCAAGACCUACAAGCAACACUUCGAGAGUAAGCACCCCAAGAGCCCCCUGCCUGCUGAACUGCAGACCGCCAGCGCGUGAUGACAGGCAUUCCUAGAUACAACAGCAAAAGCAACAACAGUCUUCUGAGGUUCAUCACAUAACAUCAUGACACCAGGACGCCAGUGGCCAAUGCCCCCUCGGCCUAACAGAGCAUGACACCCCUGAAUAUACAAUGGAAUCUUCCAUGGUACAGCCUUUAUCAUAUCAGGUUUUCCCACAAUUUUUGAGAAACUGUUUCUUCAAUUUUACUUCUUUUGAUCAGUUUGGCCAAGUCUUAAAAAAAACACAACUUCCUGAAACCUGAAAAAUGAAAAGACUCCAAUUCCACUUGUGAUAGUGUAAAUAUUAAUUAAUCGGAUUUCUUACUUACGGAUGAUUGUGUAGAAAAUCAGUUUUCAGAAUCUGCUAUGAAAGUAGUUGCCUGUGUAGGUUUUUUUUUCUCUCUUGUUUUAAAGUAUGCAUCGUAUUUAUUUUGAUUCAUCAUGUUUAUUUCAUUGUAGCAUUCCAUUGAAAUGUAUCUUUGGUAUGAAGAUUUAGUCAACAAAAAAUGAUACUGUAGAGAAGAAACAUACACUUAGCUUAUGUGACAAAUUGUUUUUGCAGUGCCAAAACAGUUUGUCUCAAAAACUAAGGGUAUUGAACACAAAGACAGGCAUAACCCUUCGGGCAUGUGUACUGAAGCGUAGUAAGAAAUAUAUUGCUGUCAAGUUUUGGGGGAUCCUUACUCCCAUAAUUACCUCAGAAUUUUAUAACAAAAAUUCGCUUUUAAUGCAUUGAUUAUCCAGAUAAGAUACCUGUAUUAAGUGUUCAUUAGCCACUUUUAUUUUUGGUUCUUAAACCCAACUUUCUACUUGGGAGACCUGUCCGUCAAAAUCCAUCACCGACUCUGCUUCACAUAAUGCUUCAGGACCAAAUCCGUUGAAAUCCACCACUGGUGCUGGUGGAUUUUGAUGGACUUGGUACAUGUGGCUUUUCUGCUAAUAUCUCCCAAAAUUGGAGGGGGGGGGGGGACGACAGAUUUUGAUGGAGUUGCUAAGGGUUAAAGGUCAGUUGUAAACCACCCUUGUUUUCCUUAACAUCUUUUCCUCUUUUAUCUUUUGUUUUGGUGGCAUCCAUUGACUUUUAUUUUUUCCUCGCAUUCUCUGAGAAUUUAGCAUAUUUCAAUUCUUUACAUUUUUUUAAUUCUGUCCUGCAGUUAAUUUCUCCAAACAAUUUCAUGUUGGAACAAACUGUACUUUUGACUUUGUACAUGUGUGGCUUUACGAUAGAGAACAGACACACAAAGGAAAAACAAAAGAUCCUUUCAGUCCUCGAGCGUUGGGUCUUUUGUUGGAAACUGUCCUUGAUCCUAGAGUUAUGUGCUUCGUCUAUGGGAGAGUGUUAUAUUACAGGGACAAAGAGAAACACAAAGCAUUGUCCUCAGGCGUAUAGAAAUUCACGACUGUAUGUAUGUAUGUACAUGUUUGAAUGGAUCGAAGAGAACACAAUGCUUGUCAGUGUGUGUAUUCUACAAUGUAACAAGUUUUAUAAUAUUAUUCUAUUGUUUUUGGUGCAUUUUUAUUUCAAGCACAGCGUAAUUAAGAUCGAGACGAAACUGCAAAUCUGUUGACUUUUUCUUUGAUGUAGUUACGUAUUUUUUGGCUGGCCCCCAGGUUUAGUUUAGUGACGGAUAUAUAACCAUGAUUGACCAUGUUACAUUAUUUUACAUUGGAAAUAAAAGAACGUUUAUAUUAA